GAGAAUAACACUCCAUAAGUCUAGGAGGCUGGAAUGCACUUAGGCUGAAAACUUCGGUGCCUUAGGAUGAGUCUGCGGACUAUCAGGUUGUAGUCAGGGUAAAGACCUGACUAGCCUACGACGGAUACGGGUUGUGAGAGCAAUAACCCGGAGAUGAUAUCUGAGACACGAUAUCAGGCCCUACGGGGCGCAGCAGGCGCGAAAACUUCGCACUGCGCGAAAGCGCGACGAGGGAAUCCCAAGUGUAUGCACGUAAGUGUAUACUGUUUCUCUGUCUAAAAAGCAGAGAGAGUAAGAGCUGGGUAAGACGGGUGCCAGCCGCCGCGGUAAUACCUGCAGCUCGAGUGGUGAUCGUUAUUAUUGGGCCUAAAACGUCCGUAGCCGGUCUUCUAAAUGCCCUGGGUAAAUCGUAUGGCUUNACCAUACGAAUUCCGGGUAGACUGUUCGACUUGAGACCGGGAGAAGCUAGAGGUACUCCUGGGGUAGAGGUGAACUUCUGUAAUCCUAAGGGGGACGCACAGUUGGCAAAUGCGUCUAGCUAGAACGGGUCUGACGGUGAGGGAAGAAGCCCUGGGGCGCAAACGGGAGUAGAUACCCCGGUAGUCCAGGGUGUAAACGCUGCUUGCUUGAUGUUAGUCUGGCUCCGAGCCAGAUUAGUGUCGGAGAGAAGUUGUUAAGCAAGCUGCCUGGGAAGUACGGCCGCAAGACUGAAACUUAAAGGAAUUGGCGGGGGAGCACAGCAACGGGUGGAGCGUGCGGUUUAAUUGGAUUCAACGCCGGAAAGCUCACCGGAGGCGACGGUUACAUGAAGGCCAAGCUGAUGACUUUGCCUGAUUUUCCGAGAGGUGGUGCAUGGCCGCCGUCAGUUCGUACCGUAAGGCGUUCUGUUAAGUCAGACAACGAACGAGACCCUCAUCUUUAAUUGCUACUGGUAAGUUCGCUUAUCAGGCACAUUAACGAAACCGCUGGCGAUAAGUCAGAGGAAGGCGAGGGCAACGGUAGGUCAGUAUGCCCUGAAUCCUCCGGGCUACACGCGCGCUACAAAGGCUAGGACAAUGAGAUUCGACACCGAAAGGUGAAGGUAACCUCGAAACCUAGUUAUAGU
rnacentral:rRNA from 1 species